rnacentral:rRNA from 1 species
GUGGGGAAUAUUGGACAAUGGGCGCAAGCCUGAUCCAGCCAUGCCGCGUGAGUGAUGAAGGCCUUAGGGUUGUAAAGCUCUUUCACCGGUGAAGAUAAUGACGGUAACCGGAGAAGAAGCCCCGGCUAACUUCGUGCCAGCAGCCGCGGUAAUACGAAGGGGGCUAGCGUUGUUCGGAAUUACUGGGCGUAAAGCGCACGUAGGCUGAUAUUUAAGUCAGGGGUGAAAUCCCGGGGCUCAACCCCGGAACUGCCUUUGAUACUGGGUAUCUUGAGUAUGGAAGAGGUCAGUGGAAUUGCGAGUGUAGAGGUGAAAUUCGUAGAUAUUCGCAGGAACACCAGUGGCGAAGGCGGCUGACUGGUCCAUUACUGACGCUGAGGUGCGAAAGCGUGGGGAGCAAACAGGAUUAGAAACCCCAGUAGUCC